rnacentral:miRNA from 1 species
AAGAGCCGCUGAGUGGGGAGGAGAGAGGGACAGAGAGCCUGCUUCUUUAAAGGAGCAAAGCAGGAGAGGAGGAGCCGCUACACGAGUGUAAGCGGCUCCUGUCCGGUUGGUUCCUUUAAAGCAAGCAGGCUCUCUGUCCCUCUCUCCUCCCCACUCAGCUCGCUAAA